GUAUAAAAAGCGAGAAAUUUGCAUAUGGUUUCGGCCCGUAUCUUGGGGGUGAAAGUCCCUUUUUAUAUUUUAAUUUAUUUAAAUAG
rnacentral:tRNA from 1 species